UGUUCUAAACUAGAACCACGUCCUCCCGCAGAAAAAAGAAAAAUCCUUCGACUAUGUACUAACCUUUUUGCCCAACCAUCGUCGUUCAUGCUUUCCUAUCUAUGAUCAUGUCCUCUCACUGCGGAAGAUUAUUACUACUAUUAAGAAGCGAGAACAGAGAGGAGCUUCUGGUCAAUGUGAGUUUACCAAAACACCACAAAAUUCAGUUUAUUUCAAUUUUACCCCUCAGACUCUCAGAUGCUUCAGAGACAGAAAGGGCUUUGAAAAAUUAGAAAAACUGCGCUAUUCUCUUACCACCGCUUUCCUUUAUCUUCGUCUGCGACUGCAGUGGCGACUCAGCUACACCAACUCAAGGUAACAAUAGAAUAAGACAAUUUUGGCAAAAUCAAAAACUAUUGAACUUUUGGAUUUAUAUUGAAAAUUUGUCGCAAGCUUAAGGAUUUUAGGAUUUUAACCUAUUGAAUUAAAAGUAUUCUCUUUUAUUCGAUUUCAAUAUUGCGACGAGCUUGAAUUUGACAGAUUUGUGGUAUGCCUUUUGGAGUAAUAAGUUUUUUCUCCAUUUCCAAUUUGAGGUAAACAAUUAGUACUACUUUUUUUUUUUAUUUCAGCUUAAAUGACAGGUUUUUUGGAGCAGAAUUUAGUAUACAUUGGAAAAUUAGCGAAAAAUCUUCAGUUACCUGAGUUCUAAAAAGGAGUUAGGGUUGUGGGUUAGGGAUUUCUCAUGGAAAUUUUUUAGAACAAAAUGGGAUGUUGACUUUCUCCAGCUCUGUUAUGAAAAACUUUUUUGAAAAAAAAUACUUUUUUUUGGGGUGUAAACUUUUUCUUUUUGUAAACUGGGUUUAUUAAGAUUUUUAACUUCUGCAGGGUCUUUUGACGGCAUAGUGGUGGAUAACCUGAGAUGGACUCCACUGAUUUUCACAUUAGAAAGCCCCUUGGAAGAAGAAAAUCCGGUCAUGUAUAAAAUACAAUGAUAAAGAGUAUAAUAGAUGACUAAACUUAUAAUUAGUUUAGCUACUCAACUAAUCAUGCUUUGUUAAUUCAAGAUAUUAUUCAUCUAUUGUUGUUUAAUGGAGAUGCCACACCAUUCUUAUUGCAGGUACAUUUUAGAAAGAAAACUAUUUAUCCUUUUAUUCUUUGAAGUUUAGAUUUAUUGGUGAGUUUGAACUUUGAAGUUUGUGUGGAGGUAGUUCAAUAUGUACUGUAUUUACAGGAGACGGUACAGAAGUAUAAGGCAUAUCAACCUUGGGGAGCUUGUAGCCUACAAAAUUUAUGCCAUGGGUAAAUUCUAUACCUACAUUUAUAACUUCUCUAUUGUAAUUAAUAUUGACUCUUCUAAAACAAAUUUACUCUUGCUUCAGUUUGUUAAAAUAUUACAGUUUUACAUCAAUUAGGAAUGAUUUGAUUAGGUAUUUUCAUUGUGUAAUUAUACGCCUACUAAAAUUGUACAUACUGAAUACUUUAAAUCCCAACCAAGCUUGGCGGAAAUAAUCAAGAUUUUCAGUGCAAUUCUUCAGGGGGAGUUCACGAUAGGAAGCGACAGAUUUAGCAUUCAGAGUACUUACUCUUAAGGGUGAGUAAAUUACAUUAAUUUUAGAGUUUGCAGAAUUAAAUAAAUAGUGUGUAGCCUCUGUAUAUCUGACAAGUUUAUUAGGUGUCUACUGAAGGCAUUUGCUUGCUUUUCUUUUGUUAGUCGUUGCAUAUGUUGCUUUGAUGUUUUAAAGGCUAUAGUUCUAAGGUAGUGUUCUGUCAUAGAAUGAUGUUGCAUGAAGAAAUGUGGUAAUAUCUUGAGUCCCUUAUGUAUGCCUUUUUUUGUUAUGUUAAAGCUUGUGUAUCUCUCAUUUUAUCAGUAAUUUGAUAUUUUUAACAAUUGCCAUGACUGCUUUAUAUAAUGCUUAAGCCAGCAGGUUGAGUAUCAUACUGUGAAAUCAAAGCUUUCCUUAUUUACUUCUUGGGGCCCGGGAGAACUGUGAAUCAAUUCUUAGCUCACUGGUCUAGCUCACUUUUCUUAAUAAACAGGCAGCUUUAUAUUAAUAUUGGAGUACCAAAAUAUCACUACAUACUGGAGAUAGUAAAAUACAACAGCUUGAGAAAAUAUUUAUAAAGAAAAAUAGUUUGAAAAUAAGAAAUUAGUUCGACAAAUCUGCUGCAGAAUUUAUUCAUCUAUAAAGGCAGAGGGCUUCAGUGCAUCACUGCGUCAAAUUUGAUCCUGGAAAAGUUGAAAAGUUGGAAUCUUCGCUCGAGACUAGACACAGGCAUGCUUAUCGGUCAAUUAACUUUGGAGAAGCCUCAAGAGAGGCAAGGACUUGCAGCAUUGGAAAAUAGUAAUGAGGACUUGUGUUAGUCUACUUUGGAGCAGCAAUUCGGUGAUCCCCCAAAAUGAUCCUCCGAAACAUUACCAUGGCAACAUACUCAGCUUGUCAAGAGAAUGAAAAGAACUCUAGCAGUUACAAAUUUGUAAUUGAAAGUCUGAAAGUUGGCCAUGAUGAUUGUUAAGGAGCUAAUUUUGAUAAACCUUGUAUUGUAUCUCUUAUUUGAAGAAAAUAACUCUCUUGGUUUGGUCAGUUGAAAUGGACUGCAUGAUCUUAUAUGCAUUAGGCUUGAGAAUAAUUGAUGCAACAAGGAUUUCUACUGGAUGAUCAAUGUUAAUGCCUUCAAGAUCGCAAGAACAGAGCUAAAUUAUCCAAUCUACUGUAAUUAUUUAUGUUGGGCACCUAGUGGAUAAUAUAAACUAUAAAGCUUGUCCUCGUUUUUUUUGUUUUUUUUGUUUUUUUUGUUUUCCUAAUUUCAUCAUGGGGAUAUAAAAAGUUUUUUAAGGA